rnacentral:tRNA from 6 species
GGGCUCGUAGUUCAGUGGUAGAACGUCCGAUUCACAUUCGGAAGGUCAGAGGUUCAAUCCCUCUCGAGCCCACAA